rnacentral:piRNA from 1 species
UCCAUCAGUCAAUUGAAAACA